rnacentral:lncRNA from 1 species
GGCGGUGAACAGCCUCCGAGACUUCGUGGAUGAUGAUGACGAUGAUGACCUGGAGCGAGUCAGCUGGAGUGGGGAACCUGUGGGAAGUAUCUCAUGGUCCAUCAGAGAGACUGCUGGUAAUAGCGGCUCAACCCACGAGGGGCGUGAACAGCUAAAGAGCCGAAACAGCUUCUCCUCCUAUGCACAACUACCCAAGCCUACUUCUACCUACUCCCUGAGCAGCUUUUUUAGAGGUAGAACUAGACCUGGAAGUUUCCAGUCCCUUUCUGAUGCUCUGUCAGACACACCUGCCAAAAGCUAUGCUCCAGAGCUGGGGAGACCCAAAGGGGAGUAUAGGGAUUACAGCAAUGACUGGAGCCCCAGUGAUACAGUGCGACGUCUCCGGAAGGGCAAGGUUUGCUCACUAGAGAGAUUCCGCUCCUUACAGGACAAACUACAACUCCUAGAAGAGGCAGUAAGCAUGCAUGAUGGAAACGUCAUUACUGCAGUUCUGAUUUUCCUGAAGAGGACACUGAGCAAAGAGAUCCUCUUCCGAGAGCUGGAGGUGCGACAGGUUGCCCUGAGACAUCUUAUUCACUUCCUUAAGGAAAUAGGGGAUCAAAAGUUGCUUUUAGACCUCUUCAGAGGAGGCACUCGAUUUUGUGAGGUUAUACUGCCACACAUCAAUAGAUACAAAUGCCCUGCUCCCUUCUGCUUCUUCCCAGGUUCCUAGAUAGAACAGAAGAGCUUGCGCUAUCUCAUUAUCGAGAGCAUUUGAACAUUCAGGACCCUGACAAACGAAAAGAAUUUCUUAAAACCUGUGUUGG